GCCUUCACCAAGCAGCUACAGAUGAUGGAGCUCUGGUUCUGGGCCUGAGAAACAAGGACUGACUGAUGGGAUUGCAUUGUUAUACAGGCAGCAUCAUUUGAGACAGCAUUGGAACAGCAGCUGGGCAUGGAUUUCUCUCCUCUUGCCCCUUUAGUCUUGGAGAUAUUUUUAUGGACUAAAUUCCAAAAUGGACCAGCAGAAAUUAUUGUUUUGAGACUACCACAAUGCUCCAAACUUAACAAUACUUAGGAAGUUUCUUUGAGAAGCUCAAUUUUUAAAGAAGAUUGAACUCUGCAUCACUCCUAAGUCAAUUAUUAUUUUAUUCAAACCAAAUAUAGCUCACAUUUUUAUGCAUUGUAUUAUCCACCUGCCUUGGAUCUAUAACUCCCUACGUUAUUUUGGACUGAGAUUUAAAUCUCGGCUCAGUCAGGACAUUGUGUUCCAACUUUCAGUUGUUGGAACAUGACCCUGGGUUUGCUCUUUAUAAUGUCUACUUGAUGUAUAAUUAAAUAUGGAAACUUUUAUAGCUCCUAUAGCUUGGUAUGUAACUAAAAUUGUUGUUUGCCUAUGUAAAUUGGAUUACUUAAAUUGUCAUUGGUUGUUUUAUACUUCAGUUGAGAGGAGUAUGUAAGGAAGUUUAUAUUAUAAAAGAAAUUGCAUUAUCAAUGAUACUCUUAAGUGGCUUGACUCCAUUUAGACAUUUAUUAGAAUUUAUAUUGGUAUAAAUUAAGACCUGCAUGUUACUCUGUCUUACUCAUCCCUGUCGGAUGUAAUAGGGGAAUUUACUGUUUGUAACUUGAACAAAAAUACUUGACAAAUUAAAAAUACUGUUGCAAUUUUAAA